rnacentral:ncRNA from 1 species
ACGGUUCAUCCUUCACUCGGAUCGUUCGGCACGUUCCUGCCGAUGAAGAAAGGUUCAC